UCUGCCUCUCUCCAUCUCUUAACUUUGUUUUUUUUUCUCUUCCUCUGUUCUAAAACCAACCUCAACAUUGAAGCAAACAGGGUAGUAACGACAUAAAUCCACGACGGCACCUCUAUACAACCAGGGCGGGCCGUCGCGAGUACUUAAAACCAACAUCAAAACUCAUAACCAAACAAUCGUUCCUACACCCAAAUCUAAACAAACAGCAAAAUCCAAAGAGCCAGAUUCGGAAAACAAACACAAUCAGAAACCUGAGUUUUCAGCUCAAAAUCAAAACCAUGGCAACAACAAUUUUAUGCAAUAAUCAUGGGGUUUGCGUUCUAUGAGGCGAUAUAAACAAAGCGGUAACAUCAAAUCAUGUAAAAGGGAAGUGUUAAAUACCAAAUCGGAGCUAGUCCGACGUUCGAAUUCCGGCGAGGUGAGGGGCUUAGCUCGAGCUUGUUGAGCUUCGGUGUGAAAAUCUCAACAAGUUCAAAACGGAGCUUUUUAAUGAGGGUUUUGGAGUGAUUUUUCCAGAGUAACGGUGCAGAGAUUCGGUCUUUUUUCAGUGGAUUUCACUCCCUUCUUAUAGAGGGGUGGUACGAGGUUCAUACGUCCUUAUCCUUCAUGAGCUGGCAAAUCUUGGAUAGGAUCAAUCCGUUAGAGGGAAUUUUUCUUCAGAUUUGGUGUGGUCCCAGGAAUGAAGGUGGCGAAAUCUGUUUCUGUUUUGUCCGUAGUGAAAUCUUCAGAAUCAACAUCAUGUGUUGAGUUUCUCAUUUACCGCGGUGAAAGAUCUACAUGUCGUGGUUUCAUUCAUCUUCAGUCACAGCUUGGCAAGGCACACCUUUCGAAUGACUUCGUGCAUUUUGGCGGACUCUUCCUUCAUAUUCGAUGUAAAAACUCCUUAUCGUGAUCCUGUAAGUCACCACCAAGCCAAUCUAAAUCCAGGUCAAGAAUAUCAUUUGGCGAAUAUUUGUAGCUUACUCGACAACUGUUUUGGAAAUGAUGAGUCUGUGCUCAAAGUGACAGACGGAUUCUUUCUGGCUAGAAAUUUGGAACCGUCGUGUCUGGCUGUUGUAAGGAUUGAAGUCAUGGUGAUGGUGAAUUCAUGAUGCUUGGCAUGACUUUGUUGUUGUAGUGAUUCCGGGCUGGUGUAGAGCAGCAGCAUUUUGUCCUGUUCGGCCUUAGGUUUGUUCGGUAAUGCGGGACAUUGGCCACACGGUCUCAUGGUUUCCGGUUGGUAUACCACAGCCACCUCUUGUUCGUAGCCUUGGCAUGCAGCACUAGCUACCAAUGCUUGUGAAGUGCUAAGUCACGAUUUCAUUAUGCCAUUGAUACUCAGUUUGGUGCGGUUUCUUGAAGGAACAUUGACACUGCAGGGGUGAUGCAUACUUUAUCAUGUUGGUUCACAAAGCAAGCGUAGCAAUUCGCAUUUUGUAAUGACCUUGGACUUUGGCUUGUCUUGUAUGUAGAAUCUAAGACUUCACAUCACGGUUGCAAUCGGGUAUUGUUGAUUUUACCGACUUAGCCUAUGUCAUGACAGUUUUGGUACGGAUGUGAUACUCGGCUGGUGAAUGUAUCUCGGUUAAUGCAUACAACAUGAGAGAAUUCCCAGGGUGGUUUCAUCUAUCAUGGACCUAUCCACUGUACCUUUUUCUUCAACUUGUUAUUUCUGGCGUUGUUGGUAUUGCAGGUCCAUUGUUAUUGAGACAAACUGACUUAUGGCGACAUGAAUAGUUGUGGACCAAGGUUUUUCUCCACGCAUCAUGAUGCUGUAGCACGUCUGUACCUGUUUUAAACUUUGCAUAAUUAGUGUUUCUGCAGGCUGUACUUAACUGAUGUGAUGAUGACAAUUGGUUCCGCGAUCUUGUAUCCGGGAGUGUGGCCUCUAGUUUCUUUGGUUUAUCCUCACAGCUAUGCUACUGUUUUGUUGUUCGCAGCUCGAGAGUUUGGAUUUGAAUGAUGUCGGCUGCCUGUUGGAUUACCUUGCUGUAACCAAAUUUUGUUGUAAAAACAAAUAUCCUUUGGUCUGUUUGUCUUCUUGCUAGUAUUUAUGACGGGAUGCUAUUGCUCUUGUGUUGCAGGAUCUACAACUCAAAUUCUGUCGUUUGUUUGGCUUAAUUUGGACGUGCUUCAUCUGUACUUGGUAUUUGGUCUGCAGUAAUUGGACUUGACAAAAUGCCGUUUUUUUUUGUUGUUGUAGGUUCUGUAUUCAGAGCUGAUGGUGAUAAUUUCAUGUAUUCAUCUACAUUUUUUUUGGGCACAUGGAUUCUUGUUCGCCUUGCUGACACAGCGCUAUUGACUCUUGGAUCCGCCAGUUAUCGCAUGGUACAAGGCGAUACCUUACAAUGUCUUCGGAGGCUAGCGCAAGAAGACGUCCAGGAAGCCGUCACGGCAAACUGAUGUGCACUUUCAACUUUAGAAAUUUACCUCCUACAUUUGGUUUGGUUGUAAUGUCAUUUAGCAACUAGCACUGCUUAUGCUUGGUUAUAUAAUGUAUUCCUUUUGACAUUUGAAGCAAGUGUUUGUAAAACCCAGAAUUUUGUCCAACUAAUGUGUUUUUAAACCAAAACUCCAAGUUGUA